GGGGAUGUGGCUCAAAUGGUAGUGCACUCGCCUGACAUGCGUGCGGCCCGAGUUCGAUCCUCAGCACCA
rfam:Ictidomys tridecemlineatus contig097032, whole genome shotgun sequence.